CUCUCCAUUUCUUUCCAGUCAAAUCGAAGCUUCGGUCCCGGCUUCCAUUUCUUACCAAUCAGAUUCCACCCCCUCUUCCAUUUCUUACCAAUGAAAAAAUCUGUCCGCCUCAACACCCGCCUCCUGCCGCCUCGACCAAUCAGAAGGCUGUUGCUAUGCGAGUGCCGACAGAAACGAAAGUUGACUGAAAGUUCCGUCAAAGCUAACACACCGGCACAUUUCAUGAUUGAAAAUUGUCCACUCCAGAAUCGGGUUCAGAUGUCUUUGUUUGGUCUGCUUGUGUGUGUUUCACACUUAAAAGACACCUCAGGAACAGACAACUUGAUCUCCCUCUUCAUCUGCAGGCUCUCCUGCAGUUUCUUCCAAUGUCGCUUUACCCUCUGAGGACGCUGCAAAGUGACCUAAACUGCC